rnacentral:lncRNA from 1 species
GGAGGGCUUGAAUGAUGACGUCCAUAAUGAGGAAGAGGAGGAAGUACACUUGGGGUUGAAUGAUGAAGGGGAGGUGCAUAAGAGAAAUGAUGACGUCCAGAGGUAGGAGGAGGAGGAGGAAGUAGAGUUGGAGGAGGAGGACAUGGAUGAUCAACAGGUGCAUGUGGAGGUGCAUGUGGAGGAAGAAGUACACGUUGAAGAUUUUACUUCAAGUGUGUCUAAUGAUGCAGGGGAUGUUGAUGAAGGAGAAGGGGAUGAAGGAUUAGUGGAUGUUGAUGUUAAUGUUGAUAAAGUACUUAGGGACAAUAUAGAAG